UACGUAGGCAGCGAGCGUUGUUCGGAGUUACUGGGCGUAAAGAGUGCGUAGGCGGUUUUCUAAGUUUGGUGUGAAAUCUCCCGGCUCAACUGGGAGGGUGCGCCGAAUACUGAGUGACUAGAGUGCGGGAGAGGAAAGUGGAAUUCCUGGUGUAGCGGUGAAAUGCGUAGAUAUCAGGAGGAACAUCGGUGGUGUAGACGGCUUUCUGGACCGUAACUGACGCUGAGACACGAAAGCGUGGGUAGCAAACAGG
rnacentral:rRNA from 1 species